rnacentral:rRNA from 1 species
CCUACGGGAGUCAGCAGUAGGGAAUAUUGCUCAAUGGGGGAAACUCUGAACCAGCAACGCCGCGUGAAGGAUGAAGGUUUUAGGAUUGUAAACCUCUUUUGUUAGAGAAGAAUAAGACUGGAUGUAACGAAUAAGCACUGUCUCACUACGUUACGGAAGCCGUGGUAAUAAGGAGGGUGCAAGCGGUACUCAGAAUCACUGGUCGUAAAGAGUGUGUAGGCGGGGUAAUAAGUCAGAUGUGAAAUCCUGUAGCUUAACUACAAAACUGCAUUUGAAACUGUAACUCUGGAGUGGGGGAGAGGUAGGUGGAAUUCUUUGUGUAGCGGUAAAAUCCGUAGAUAUCAAGAGGAAUACUCAUUGCGAAGGCGGCCUGCUGGAACAUUACUGACGCUGAGGCACGAAAGCGUGGGGAGCAAACAGGAUUAGAUACCCUAGUAGUC